CUUGACGACCAUAGAGCGUUGGAACCACCUGAUCCCAUCCCGAACUCAGUAGUGAAACGACGCAUCGCCGAUGGUAGUGUGGGGUUUCCCCAUGUGAGAGUAGGUCAU
rnacentral:rRNA from 1 species